rnacentral:rRNA from 1 species
CGGGUGGCUGCAGUGGGGAAUUUUGGACAAUGGGGGAAACCCUGAUCCAGCCAUUCCGCGUGAGUGAAGAAGGCCUUCGGGUUGUAAAGCUCUUUCAGCUGGAACGAAACGGUACGCUCUAACAUAGCGUGCUAAUGACGGUACCAGCAGAAGAAGCACCGGCUAACUACGUGCCAGCAGCCGCGGUAAUACGUAGGGUGCGAGCGUUAAUCGGAAUUACUGGGCGUAAAGCGUGCGCAGGCGGAUUGUUAAGCAAGACGUGAAAUCCCCGGGCUUAACCUGGGAAUGGCGUUUUGAACUGGCAGUCUAGAGUGUGUCAGAGGGGGGUAGAAUUCCACGUGUAGCAGUGAAAUGCGUAGAGAUGUGGAGGAAUACCAAUGGCGAAGGCAGCCCCCUGGGAUAACACUGACGCUCAUGUACGAAAGCGUGGGUAGCAAACAGGAUUAGAUACCCCUGUAGUC